rnacentral:rRNA from 1 species
GACGAACGCUGGCGGCGUGCCUAACACAUGCAAGUCGAACGAGUGGCGGACGGGUGAGUAAUGCUUGGGAAUCUACCUUAUGGAGGGGGAUAACUACGGGAAACCGUAGCUAAUACCGCUUAACAUAGGGUGAGCCCAAGUGGGUUUAGGUAGUUGGUGGGGUAAAGGCUCACCCAGCCGACGAUCUCUAGCUGGUCUGAGAGGAUGACCAGCCACACUGGGACUGAGACACGGCCCAGACUCCUACGGGAGGCAGCAGUGGGGAAUAUUGCGCAAUGGGGGCAACCUGACGCAGCCAUGCCGCGUGAAUGAAGAAGGCCUUCGGGUUGUAAAGUGCUUUCAGUAGCGAGGCGUUAACAACAGAAGAAGCACCGGCUAACUCCGUGCCAGCAGCCGCGGUAAUAC